rnacentral:tRNA from 1 species
GGACACUUAGCUCAGUGGUAGAGCGCUUCAUUCACAUUGAAGAGGUCACAGGCUCAAUCCCUGUAGUGUCCA